UGGUGCAUGGUUGUCGUCAGGCUCGUGUCGUGAGAUGUUGGGUUAAGUCCCGCAACGAGCGCAACCCUCGACCUUAGUUGCCAGCAUUCAGUUGGGCACUCUAAGGUGACUGCCGGCUAAAAGUCGGAGGAAGGUGGGGAUGACGUCAAAUCAUCAUGCCCCUUAUGACCUGGGCUACACACGUGCUACAAUGGGCGGUACAAAGGGUCGCGAACCCGCGAGGGGGAGCCAAUCCCAAAAAGCCGCUCUCAGUUCGGAUUGCAGGCUGCAACUCGCCUGCAUGAAGCCGGAAUCGCUAGUAAUCGCGGAUCAGCAUGCCGCGGUGAAUACGUUCCCGGGCCUU
rnacentral:rRNA from 1 species